ACUGGAGAUAAUCGCGAGGGUCACACGCCUGAAAGAAUGCCGAACUCAGAAGUGAAACGCCGUAGCGCCGAUGGUAGUGUGGGGUCUCCCCAUGUGAGAGUAGGGAACUGCCAGGC
rnacentral:rRNA from 1 species